rnacentral:rRNA from 1 species
UACAGAGGUCCCGAGCGUUGUCCGGAUUCACUGGGCGUAAAGGGUGCGUAGGUGGCAUGGUAAGUUUGAUGUGAAAGCUCAAGGCUCAACCCUGAAAUGCCAUUGAAUACUACUGUGCUGGAGGUUUGGAGGGGGGACUGGAAUUCUUGGUGUAGCAGUGAAAUGCGUAGAUAUCAAGAGGAACACCAGUGGCGAAGGCGAGUCCCUGGACAACACCUGACACUGAGGCACGAAAGCCGGGGGAGCAAACAGG